rnacentral:misc_RNA from 1 species
GAAGCAUAUAAGCUUUUGUUAUCUCUAACCUUGUGCUUUGGCAAAAUAGGAAAAUCUUAGACAUAUGAGUUCUCUAGUUAGUUUUCCCAUUUUCCAGUCAGAGGCUUUCAAAAAAGUGUCUUCCCGUUGUGUGAUCUCUCAAAGUUUGGUCUCUUAAUUUGUGUCAAGAUAAUUUCUUGUAAAUUCAGAGGUUGGAGGCCUAAUUAAAAAUUCAUACCAAAGAUUUUGCCAAAAUAUUUUGCUCAGCCACUAGUGGAUUAUUCAACAAAUGCCACCUGUUAACACUCUGUUUGGAUAUGGGGAAAAGGGAAAGGAAAGAAAAUUGAAAUUGUACUUUCCAUUGUUUGGAAAUGAAGGGAAAAU